rnacentral:rRNA from 1 species
AUAGCUUCUGCACUAUUUGUAGCCGCAAUUCAACAUCGAGGUCGCAAACAAUUAUUUUAAUAAGGGCUUAAAUAAUUAUAACGCUGUUAUCCCUAGAGUACCUUAUUCGUCUAAUUUAAUAAAGAUCAUUGUUAAUAUAAAUAGUCCUAUUUAAAUUUACCCCAAAUAAACUUGUGUAUAAUUAUUGCUUCAUUAAUUAAGUAAAGGUUCAUAGGGCUUCUCGUCA